GCAUCACCAGUCUAGUUUCUUCCUGGUGCGCUCAUGCCAGAGUCAACUUCAGCCUGCAGCCACGGCCUGGCCUCUAUACAUGUGGGCUAUGAGCCCUGAAGGGGGUUGCACAGUG
ensembl:snoRNA